AGAAGAAGAAAAAUCGCAAAGAAUCUGAAAGGAAACGGGAGCCUCAUUCACCAUCAUCGAAAGAUCUUGGCCCUUCAGCUGAUGAUCCUCAAAAGCUCGCUUUCGACAAUGAUUUUGUCGGAAUUCCAGGUCUGAGACUAACCAGGAUACGGAACCCAAAAGCCCGGUCUCGCAAGAAACGCUGCAAGUUUGUGUGGACUCUCACUCUGGUGAAAAGCAAAAGCAAAGAUUCCCAAAUCCAAGAGAAUCUAAGUAAUCCUCAAGAAAGUAAAAGCAAAGAUUCCCAAGUCCAAGAUGAUCUCUGCAAAACACAAGAAAUCAAAAGCCAAGAUUCUCAAAUCCAAGAGAGUCCGAGCAAAGUAGAUGAAAGCCCCAACACAGAGGCAGAACUUCCUGCUAGAUGUGAUCAGGAAGUAGAUGUUUCUACAGAAGCAGAAUCCACAUCCACUCCUUCCAACAUUUUGGAAAUUGGCUCUUCGCAGGAGUCACAAAGCGUAGAGAACACUGUCAGUGCUGUAAUUCCUGAAAGCACAGAGAGUCCCGUGGCCGUUGAUAAGGUUGAGGAGACCCCAGAAAAGGAAAGCGAGGAGGUUCUUGAAAGGUCAGUAAUUGCAGCUGAAGCACAUCCAGAAGAGGCCACUCAGACGGACCCUGAAGAGCUAAUCAGUAAGGAUACCAUUCCACCACUUCAAAUCAAAGUUGUCUCCUCACCAGGUAAGAAAAACAGUCUAAAGCAGUCCUUUUUAAUUCAGCAAGUCACAGCCUCACCUGAAAGAAAAGAACCCACAAAUAUUGAAGACCCUCAGCAUUCAGAGAAGAGUGAGAAUGCGUUGGAAAUUACUGCUGCCACUCCCGCCCCCAAAGUAAGGAAAAGGUUACGUCAAAACACUGCUCGGAAGAAGCGUGCAAAACAUAAACACUGGACGAUUUACAGGCGAAAAUGUAAACUGAAUGCAACUCAAGAAAAGCUCGCUUCUGAAACUGCAACUGAAACAGAAUCUCAGGUGGAGGAAUCACCAGUAUCACCAACAGCAGUGCCAGCACCUGUAAAAUCCAAACCAAAUAGGCAUUCAAGUGAAGUUACGCAUAAAAAAGGUAAAAGGUCAGUUCCACCAACUACAGAACCAUUACCUGAAGUUGCAGAACCUCAGGUCAUCAAACAAACUGUUGAAUCCCCUCCAACCAGCCCAUUUCUUGGGUCAGAACCCCAGCCGGAAAUAAAACUUGAGACCCCAUCAAUUGAAACUGAAGAGGUUCUAGUAUUAGAGCCUUCCAUAAAAGAUCACCCACAGGUACUUCGUCCUUCACGCAGACGAAUGAAACGGGUCAAACGAAGACGAAAAUCUUUGAUUGGCAGGCGGAUUAAAAACUCUAAAUUGCAAAAGGAGUUGUUUGAGGUUAGUGAAGCCUGCCCACCGAUGACGGGCUCUGAAGUAGAGGAGCCUAAACUCUUUGGUAUAUUCUCAACAAAGUACAAGAGGAAGCGAAUAUCGAGUCUUCAGUCAUUAGAGGGUAGACGGAAAAAGGCCAAGCUCUUAUCAAAGCAGCUGGGAAACACCAACGGAGAUCAGCUUUCUGAUCAGACAGAAAUGGAUUCUGUGAUUGUGAAAACGGACCAAGACCAGGACAUCCAACAAAGCAAAACGAAGUUCAUGAAGACCAUUAGACAUUUCAUAAUGCCAGUCGUGA
ensembl:lncRNA